rnacentral:misc_RNA from 1 species
GAAAUGCGAUAAGUAGUGUGAAUUGCAGAAUUCAGUGAAUCAUCGAAUCUUUGAACGCACAUUGCGCCCUUUGGUAUUCCUUAGGGCAUGCCUGUUCGAGCGUCAUCUAAGCCUUCAAGCCCUGCUUGGUGUUGGGUGCCUGUCCCGCCUCCGCGCGCGGACUCACCUCAAAUCCAUUGGCGGCCCCCGCGUCGGCCACGAGCGCAGCAGAAACGCGAACUCGUGAGCCCGUCCGGGCGGCUCCCAGAAGCUACACCCACCCAGUUUGACCUCGGAUCAGGUAGGGAUACCCGCUGAACUUAAGC